GAAUGCUGACAUAAGUAACGAUAAAGCGGGUGAAAAGCCCGCUCGCCGGAAGACCAAGGGUUCCUGUCCAACGUUAAUCGGGGCAGGGUGAGUCGACCCCUAAGGCGAGGCCGAAAGGCGUAGUCGAUGGGAAACGGGUUAAUAUUCCCGUACUUGGUGUUACUGCGAAGGGGGGACGGAGAAGGCUAUGUUGGCCGGGCGACGGUUGUCCCGGUUUAAGCGUGUAGGUGUGUGUUCCAGGUAAAUCCGGUUCACUUUAACACUGAGGCGUGACGACGAGGCACUACGGUGCUGAAGCAACAAAUGCCCUGCUUCCAGGAAAAGCCUCUAAGCAUCAGGUAACAUCAAAUCGUACCCCAAACCGACACAGGUGGUCAGGUAGAGAAUACCAAGGCGCUUGAGAGAACUCGGGUGAAGGAACUAGGCAAAAUGGUGCCGUAACUUCGGGAGAAGGCACGCUGACACGUAGGUGAAGUGAUUUACUCAUGGAGCUGAAGUCAGUCGAAGAUACCAGCUGGCUGCAACUGUUUAUUAAAAACACAGCACUGUGCAAACACGAAAGUGGACGUAUACGGUGUGACGCCUGCCCGGUGCCGGAAGGUUAAUUGAUGGGGUCAGCGCAAGCGAAGCUCCUGAUCGAAGCCCCGGUAAACGGCGGCCGUAACUAUAACGGUCCUAAGGUAGCGAAAUUCCUUGUCGGGUAAGUUCCGACCUGCACGAAUGGCGUAAUGAUGGCCAGGCUGUCUCCACCCGAGACUCAGUGAAAUUGAACUCGCUGUGAAGAUGCAGUGUACCCGCGGCAAGACGGAAAGACCCCGUGAACCUUUACUAUAGCUUGACACUGAACAUUGAGCCUUGAUGUGUAGGAUAGGUGGGAGGCUUUGAAGUGUGGACGCCAGUCUGCAUGGAGCCGACCUUGAAAUACCACCCUUUAAUGUUUGAUGUUCUAACGUGGACCCGUUACCCGGGUUGCGGACAGUGUCUGGUGGGUAGUUUGACUGGGGCGGUCUCCUCCUAAAGAGUAACGGAGGAGCACGAAGGUUGGCUAAUCCUGGUCGGACAUCAGGAGGUUAGUGCAAUGGCAUAAGCCAGCUUGACUGCGAGCGUGACGGCGCGAGCAGGUGCGAAAGCAGGUCAUAGUGAUCCGGUGGUUCUGAAUGGAAGGGCCAUCGCUCAACGGAUAAAAGGUACUCCGGGGAUAACAGGCUGAUACCGCCCAAGAGUUCAUAUCGACGGCGGUGUUUGGCACCUCGAUGUCGGCUCAUCACAUCCUGGGGCUGAAGUAGGUCCCAAGGGUAUGGCUGUUCGCCAUUUAAAGUGGUACGCGAGCUGGGUUUAGAACGUCGUGAGACAGUUCGGUCCCUAUCUGCCGUGGGCGCUGGAGAACUGAGGGGGGCUGCUCCUAGUACGAGAGGACCGGAGUGGACGCAUCACUGGUGUUCGGGUUGUCAUGCCAAUGGCACUGCCCGGUAGCUAAAUGCGGAAGAGAUAAGUGCUGAAAGCAUCUAAGCACGAAACUUGCCCCGAGAUGAGUUCUCCCUGAGACUUAAAGUCUCCUGAAGGAACGUUGAAGACGACGACGUUGAUAGGCCGGGUGUGUAAGCGCAGCGAUGCGUUGAGCUAACCGGUACUAAUGAACCG
rnacentral:rRNA from 2 species